rnacentral:rRNA from 1 species
GACCUCAAGUCAUAUGAGAGUACCCGCUGAACUUAAGCAUAUCAAUAAGCGGAGGAAAAGAAACUAACAAGUAUUCCCCUAGUAACGGCGAGUGAAGCGGGAAGAGCACAAAUUUAAAAUCUACCUGGUUUUCAGGUCGAGUUGUAAUUUGAAGAUACGUUUUUGACGUUCAGGGUUGGACUAAAUCCUUUGGGAUAAGGUAUCAUGGAGGGUGAGAAUCCCGUAUAUACCAACCAUAGGGAUGUUAUUUAAUACGUUUCUAAGAGUCGAGUUGUUUGGGAAUGCAGCUCUAAAUGGGUGGUAAAUUUCACCUAAUGCUAAAUAUAAGCGAGAGACCGAUAGCGAACAAGUACAGUGAUGGAAAGAUGAAAAGAACUUUGAAAAGAGAGUUAAAUAGUACGUGAAAUUGUUGAAAGGGAAACGAUUGAAGUCAGUCAUGCCAGUGGGAAUCAACUUAGAGGAAACUCUAGGUGCACUUCUUCGCUUGGCAGGUUAGUGUCGAUUUUGGAUGUCAUAAAAUGACUGGGGGAAGGUAGCUCCUUUGGGAGUGUUAUAGCCCUUGGUAGAUGUGAUGUCUGGAAUCGAGGAUUGCAACGGAUACCCUUUAGGGCUAGUCACCUGAUCUCUAAUUAGUGCUAGAUUACGGACAGCAUGCUGACCGUGAUUUAAUUAUUGGUUAAAAGGUUAGAGUGCACAUAAAUUCGUUAAGGACACUGACGUAAUGGCUUUAAACGACCCGUCUUGAAACACGGACCAAGGAGUCUAACAUGUAUGCGAGUGUU